UUUUUACUUUUUUCCCUAAACAUUUAAAAACCCACAAAUGUCUGAAGAAAUUUGAAGAUUUCCUUGUCAGAAGUGUGGUUCUCCAGCUGAUGGCAGCUCAUAGUUACUUCCAUCAUUUUGAAGUGGAAGAAAACUAGCCUGCUCAGCUGCUCUCCCCUUAAGGAGCAGUUCCCCACCUCCGAUCAUCUUGUUCUUUGCAACAUUUUUCAGUUGUAAUGUAUCGUUCUGGGGAUGAGGAGACUGGAACUACAUGCAUUAUUCAAGAAAUGGCAUCUGAGGUCCAGUGUGCCAGGCAGUAGUCGAUGGCCACCAUUACUGUGUGCUUGAGCAGCUGGGACAGAACCAGCAGUGGCAGAAGGAGGAUGCCUGCGGUGCUGAGUGUUCAAAGAGCUCAGUCUCCGACUUCUGAAUGUCCUUGAGUGUUCCUUCUCUCUGGAUGGUACCAUCUUUCAUUGCAAUUAUCUAAGAAGUUGGAAACAGAAGUGGUGAGAUGAAUGGCUGUGUAUCUCUAUUUAUUUUAAAGUUAUGUUACUGCGCCUGGACAGAAUUUUAUCUUUACUAAAAUAAAGAAUAUUUCUGACAGUAAA